UGCCCUUGCUGGCUGCCUCACCAGCUGUGUCAGGAAGUGAUCUCCCACACACUCGAGGAACCUCUGGGACUGUUCCCUAUCUGCUGUAUUAUAAAUCCAGCAGAUGUCUGGGACUUUGCAAUAGCCCACAAGAACAAGGGGAGAGACCUUGAGACCUCCUGCGGCUGUGUCUAAAGUGUCUUGCCCACCUCUUCAUCCUGGUUGGGUGGCCUGUAGCACACUCCCACGAUAAGGUCAGUCUUACUGGCCUUUGCUUUUCUUCUGACCUAGAAGCUCUCAACCCUAUCAUGGCCAUCGUUCAUUUCCAGACAUUCCCAUUCUUUCUUAACGUAGAGGGCUGCACCACUGCCUUUCCUGCCUUGCCUCUCUCUUUUGCAAAGUCGCUAGCCAUCCAUCACAGCACUCCAGCUGUGUGAGUCAUUCCACCACGUUUCUGUGAUUUUUCUCCUGUUUUUUGAUUCCAACAAAAGCCACGUAGGAUUAUUUUGAUUGUUAUUCUUUUUUUAAUGGCAGGCAUUGUGUUCAACUUAAGAAAUGAACACAUGAAGAAUAGCUUUGUUUGCAUUCUGGUAACUGCUGAGGCUUUGGCUGACGACAGCUUUCAGCUGCACCUGAACUAGGCUGGAUUUGUCUCCUGCUCUCCAUAGGUGAGUAAUUUCUCUUGCAGACCUUUGAAUCAAUGAUUCCCCUGCUAUUUGUCUCUUCUGGUUGCUGGAGAGAAGAGCUGCAAUAUCACAUCCUGAUCCAUAAGGUGAUCAAGCUUGGUGAUUGUCAGUAAUUCAGGAUAUGCUUGCUUUUCUUGAAGUGAACUAAGGGAUAAGCUAUCAUGCUGUGCCAUUUCUUUUCCUGUGCGUAAUGCCAAGGGAUAGGGCUGCAGGUGCCUGCUGGUUCACGGGACAUGCCAGAGCUUUGUACACAGCUUAAGUGAUGGAAGAGGAAAGACUCCAGUAUGGUAACAACGUGAUUUCUAGUGUUUUGGUGAUUUGGCUUUGCCUUCCUUGGCUUUUUGGAACUUGGGAAAAGGUACCGAGGUGCAUGGAUAUGGAGAAGAGAAGCUCUCCUGCUGUGGCUGAGAGGUGAUCCAAAGGAGGCCUCCCGAGCAAGCACCGCAAAGGCAGCUUGCUUCUCCAGAGGCUGCAGCAUAAGCUCGUGUUCCUUGCGGAGGACUCCGUUGUGCAUCUGCAGGAGCUGCUUUGGCAUGGAGGAUUUUGUGGAGUUGCUGCCAGUCGUUGCUCGGAUGAAGUGAGGCUUUUGUCCUUGUAUCUGUGCAGGAAAGCAGUGCGGAGGGAACGUGUGUGGUGAGAUGCUGAGGAGAGAUUGCCUCCCUUGCCCCAGCAGGCUGCUUGUGUCCUGGUGAUGCACGGUGACGAGAAGGCUGCUGUUCUGUGAGUAAGCCUGCCACGUGGGAGUAAUGGUUGUGGCCUUUUGGGCAAGUCUCUGAGGAGAGGUCUUUGGGCAGGCUGGUUGUUUUGCUGGGCAAGUGCCAUUUGAGUUGUUUGUUGCCAUGCUUGGUUGGUGCUUGUUUGAGAAAUAGUGGUCCUCUUGACGAGCAGUGCUCUGUCA
rnacentral:lncRNA from 7 species